CACAGGCUUAGAAAUCAAAGGACUUAUAUGCGUAUUAUUACUGCAAGUGUAGCAACAAGAAAUAUAUAGAAUCCCCAUGAUGUGUUGCUGUUGUGACUGCUCUGAGUGCAUUACUGGAUUUUUCAAGAGGUUGGCAAACAUCUUCUGUUGUUACUGCGGGAAUGCCUUCUUUGCUUGUUGUCCUUGCUGUGAGGAAGUCGGUUGCUGUGUUGCACUUUGUGCUUGCUGCUGUCGACUGUCGUAUUUGUAGCUAACACGAGAUGGAAUUUUAUGGAGCUUUACAAUCAACACUACUAUAAAAAAAACGUUAACCUUUUUGUUAAAUUUUUGCGUUUUUGCAUUGGUUAAUUUUUUCUCGUUUUUCCUAUCCAAAAUUUCCAAAUGAAUAUGGAUAGAAAUGAGUUUCUA